GCCCGGGUGACGGAACUGGUAUACGUAGUCGACUUAAAAUCGGCGGCCGUAAGGCAUGUGGGUUCGAUUCCCACCCCGGGCACAA
rnacentral:tRNA from 1 species